rnacentral:rRNA from 1 species
ACUAGAUCGGGCAUCGAACUAGUAUUAAAGGAGCGAAUGCUCCGCUACUGGAUGGACUCGCGGUGCAUUAGCUAGUUGGUGAGGUAGAGGCUCACCAAGGCGAUGAUGCAUAGCCGACCUGAGAGGGUGAACGGCCACAUUGGGACUGAGACACGGCCCAGACUCCUACGGGAGGCAGCAGUAGGGAAUUUUCGUCAAUGGGGGAAACCCUGAACGAGCAAUGCCGCGUGAGUGAAGAAGGAUUUCGGUCU